GUUAUAUGGUCAAGUGAAGAAGCGCAUACGGUGGAUGCCUUGGCAGUCAGAGGCGAUGAAAGACGUGGUAGCCUGCGAAAAGCUUCGGGGAGUCGGCAAACAGACUGUGAUCCGGAGAUAUCUGAAUGGGGGAACCCAGCCAUCAUAAGAUGGUUAUCUUGUACUGAAUACAUAGGUGCAAGAGGCGAACCAGGGGAACUGAAACAUCUAAGUACCCUGAGGAAAAGAAAUCAACCGAGAUUCCCUUAGUAGUGGCGAGCGAACGGGGACCAGCCCUUAAGUUGUAUUGAGAUUAGCGGAACAGGCCAUAGUGGGUGAUAGCCCUGUACGCGAAAAUCCCUUUGCAAUGAAAUCGAGUAGGACGGGGCACGAGAAACCUUGUCUGAAUAUGGGGGGACCAUCCUCCAAGGCUAAAUACUACUGACUGACCGAUAGUGAACCAGUACCGUGAGGGAAAGGCGAAAAGAACCGCGGAGAGCGGAGUGAAAUAGAUCCUGAAACCGUAUGCGUACAAGCAGUGGGAGCCCACUUUAGAAAAGAACCGCGGAGAGCGGAGUGAAAUAGAUCCUGAAACCGUAUGCGUACAAGCAGUGGGAGCCCACUUUGUUGGGUGACUGCGUACCUUUUGUAUAAUGGGUCAGCGACUUAUUUUCAGUGGCGAGCUUAACCGAAUAGGGGAGGCGUAGCGAAAGCGAGUCUUAAUAGGGCGUCUAGUCGCUGGGAAUAGACCCGAAACCGGGCGAUCUAUCCAUGGGCAGGUUGAAGGAGUCUUAAUAGGGCGUCUAGUCGCUGGGAAUAGACCCGAAACCGGGCGAUCUAUCCAUGGGCAGGUUGAAGGUUGGGUAACACUAACUGGAGGACCGAACCGACUACCGUUGAAAAGUUAGCGGAUGACCUGUGGAUCGGAGUGAAAGGCUAAUCAAGCUCGGAGAUAGCUGGUUCUCCUCGAAAGCUAUUUAGGUAGCGCCUCAUGUAUCACUGUAGGGGGUAGAGCACUGUUUCGGCUAGGGGGUCAUCCCGACUUACCAAACCGAUGCAAACUCCGAAUACCUACAAGUGCCGAGCAUGGGAGACACACGGCGGGUGCUAACGUCCGUCGUGAAAAGGGAAACAACCCAGACCGUCAGCUAAGGUCCCAAAGUCAUGGUUAAGUGGGAAACGAUGUGGGAAGGCUUAGACAGCUAGGAGGUUGGCUUAGAAGCAGCCACCCUUUAAUGGUUAAGUGGGAAACGAUGUGGGAAGGCUUAGACAGCUAGGAGGUUGGCUUAGAAGCAGCCACCCUUUAAAGAAAGCGUAAUAGCUCACUAGUCGAGUCGGCCUGCGCGGAAGAUGUAACGGGGCUCAAACCAUGCACCGAAGCUACGGGUAUCAUCUUAGAUGAUGCGGUAGAGGAGCGUUCUGUAAGCCUGUGAAGGUGAGUUGAGAAGCUUGCUGGAGGUAUCAGAAGUGCGAAUGCUGACAUGAGUAACGACAAUGGGUGUGAAAAACACCCACGCCGAAAGACCAAGGUUUCCUGCGCAACGUUAAUCGACGCAGGGUUAGUCGGUCCCAGUGAAAAACACCCACGCCGAAAGACCAAGGUUUCCUGCGCAACGUUAAUCGACGCAGGGUUAGUCGGUCCCUAAGGCGAGGCUGAAAAGCGUAGUCGAUGGAAAACAGGUUAAUAUUCCUGUACUUCUGGUUAUUGCGAUGGAGGGACGGAGAAGGCUAGGCCAGCCUGGCGUUGGUUGUCCAGGUUUAAGGUGGUAGGCUGAGAUCUUAGGUAAAUCCGGGAUCUUAAGGCCGAGAGCUGAUGACGAGUGUUCUUUUAGAAAGGUAGGCUGAGAUCUUAGGUAAAUCCGGGAUCUUAAGGCCGAGAGCUGAUGACGAGUGUUCUUUUAGAACACGAAGUGGUUGAUGCCAUGCUUCCAAGAAAAGCUUCUAAGCUUCAGGUAACCAGGAACCGUACCCCAAACCGACACAGGUGGUUGGGUAGAGAAUACCAAGGCGCUUGAGAGAACUCGGGUGAAGGAACUAGGCAAAAUGGCACCGUAACUUCGGGAGAAGGUGCGCCGGUGGAGGUGAAGCAUUUACUGCGUAAGCCCCUGCCGGUCGAAGAUACCAGGCCGCUGCGACUGUUUAUUAAAAACACAGCACUCUGCAAACACGAAAGUGGACAUGGGGUUAGCGCAAGCGAAGCUCUUGAUCGAAGCCCCGGUAAACGGCGGCCGUAACUAUAACGGUCCUAAGGUAGCGAAAUUCCUUGUCGGGUAAGUUCCGACCUGCACGAAUGGCGUAACGAUGGCGGCGCUGUCUCCACCCGAGACUCAGUGAAAUUGAAAUCGCUGUGAAGAUGCAGUGUAUCCGCGGCUAGACGGAAAGACCCCGUGAACCUUUACUAUAGCUUUGCACUGGACUUUGAAUUUGCUUGUGUAGGAUAGG
rnacentral:rRNA from 1 species